rnacentral:rRNA from 1 species
CCUACGUGUGGCAGCAGUGGGGAAUAUUGCACAAUGGGGGAAACCCUGAUGCAGCAACGCCGCGUGAGUGAGGAAGUAUUUCGGUAUGUAAAGCUCUAUCAGCAGGGAAUAGAAAAGAAGGUACCUGAAAAAGAAGCCCCGGCUAACUACGUGCCAGCAGCCGCGGUAAUACGUAGGUGGCAAUCGUUGUCCGGAUUUACUGGGUGUAAAGGGCGUGUAGCCGGGUUGACAAGUUAGAUGUGAAAUCCUGCGGCUUAACCGCAGAACUGCAUUUGAAACUGUUGAUCUUGAGUACUGGAGAGGCAGACGGAAUUCCUAGUGUAGCGGUGAAAUGCGUAGAUAUUAGGAGGAACACCAGUGGCGAAGGCGGUCUGCUGGACAGCAACUGACGGUGAGGCGCGAAAGCGUGGGGAGCAAACAGGAUUAGAUACCCCUGUAGUC